rnacentral:rRNA from 1 species
UACGAAGGGUGCAAGCGUUGUUCGGAAUUAUUGGGCGUAAAGGGUUCGUAGGCUGGAGAGCAAGUCAAGUGUGAAAACCCUGGGCUCAACCUGGGGCGUGCAUUUGAAACUGUUUUUCUUGAGUAUCGGAGAGGGUGGUGGAAUUGCUGGUGUAGGAGUGACAUCCGUAGAGAUCAGCAGGAACACCGGAGGCGAAGGCGACCACCUGGCCGAAGACUGACGCUGAGGAACGAAAGCGUGGGGAGCAAACAGG